rnacentral:rRNA from 1 species
AGUUGCUAGGAUUAGACCCGAAACCGAGUGAUCUAGCCAUGGGCAGGUUGAAGGUGAGGUAACACUUACUGGAGGACCGAACCGACUAAUGUUGAAAAAUUAGCGGAUGACUUGUGGCUAGGGGUGAAAGGCCAAUCAAACUCGGAGAUAGCUGGUUCUCCCCGAAAGCUAUUUAGGUAGCGCCUCGGACGAAUACUACUGGGGGUAGAGCACUGUUAAGGCUAGGGGGUCAUCCCGACUUACCAACCCUUUGCAAACUCCGAAUACCAGUAAGUACUAUCCGGGAGACACACGGCGGGUGCUAACGUCCGUCGUGAAGAGGGAAACAACCCAGACCGCCAGCUAAGGUCCCAAAGUUAUAGCUAAGUGGGAAACGAUGUGGGAAGGCUCAGACAGCCAGGAUGUUGGCUUAGAAGCAGCCAUCAUUUAAAGAAAGCGUAAUAGCUCACUGGUCGAGUCGGCCUGCGCGGAAGAUUUAACGGGGCUAAGCUAUACACCGAAGCUGCGGCAAUG